rnacentral:rRNA from 1 species
GAUGAACGCUGGCGGCGUGCCUAAUACAUGCAAGUCGAGCGAACGGACGAGAAGCUUGCUUCUCUGAUGUUAGCGGCGGACGGGUGAGUAACACGUGGAUAACCUACCUAUAAGACUGGGAUAACUUCGGGAAACCGGAGCUAAUACCGGAUAAUAUUUUGAACCGCAUGGUUCAAAAGUGAAAGACGGUCUUGCUGUCACUUAUAGAUGGAUCCGCGCUGCAUUAGCUAGUUGGUAAGGUAACGGCUUACCAAGGCAACGAUGCAUAGCCGACCUGAGAGGGUGAUCGGCCACACUGGAACUGAGACACGGUCCAGACUCCUACGGGAGGCAGCAGUAGGGAAUCUUCCGCAAUGGGCGAAAGCCUGACGGAGCAACGCCGCGUGAGUGAUGAAGGUCUUCGGAUCGUAAAACUCUGUUAUUAGGGAAGAACAUAUGUGUAAGUAACUGUGCACAUCUUGACGGUACCUAAUCAGAAAGCCACGGCUAACUACGUGCCAGCAGCCGCGGUAAUACGUAGGUGGCAAGCGUUAUCCGGAAUUAUUGGGCGUAAAGCGCGCGUAGGCGGUUUUUUAAGUCUGAUGUGAAAGCCCACGGCUCAACCGUGGAGGGUCAUUGGAAACUGGAAAACUUGAGUGCAGAAGAGGAAAGUGGAAUUCCAUGUGUAGCGGUGAAAUGCGCAGAGAUAUGGAGGAACACCAGUGGCGAAGGCGACUUUCUGGUCUGUAACUGACGCUGAUGUGCGAAAGCGUGGGGAUCAAACAGGAUUAGAUACCCUGGUAGUCCACGCCGUAAACGAUGAGUGCUAAGUGUUAGGGGGUUUCCGCCCCUUAGUGCUGCAGCUAACGCAUUAAGCACUCCGCCUGGGGAGUACGACCGCAAGGUUGAAACUCAAAGGAAUUGACGGGGACCCGCACAAGCGGUGGAGCAUGUGGUUUAAUUCGAAGCAACGCGAAGAACCUUACCAAAUCUUGACAUCCUUUGACAACUCUAGAGAUAGAGCUUUCCCCUUCGGGGGACAAAGUGGCAGGUGGUGCAUGGUUGUCGUCAGCUCGUGUCGUGAGAUGUUGGGUUAAGUCCCGCAACGAGCGCAACCCUUAAGCUUAGUUGCCAUCAUUAAGUUGGGCACUCUAAGUUGACUGCCGGUGACAAACCGGAGGAAGGUGGGGAUGACGUCAAAUCAUCAUGCCCCUUAUGAUUUGGGCUACACACGUGCUACAAUGGACAAUACAAAGGGCAGCGAAACCGCGAGGUCAAGCAAAUCCCAUAAAGUUGUUCUCAGUUCGGAUUGUAGUCUGCAACUCGACUACAUGAAGCUGGAAUCGCUAGUAAUCGUAGAUCAGCAUGCUACGGUGAAUACGUUCCCGGGUCU